rnacentral:rRNA from 1 species
CCUACGGGAGGCAGCAGUGAGGAAUAUUGGUCAAUGGCCGCAGGGCUGAACCAGCCAAGUCGCGUGAGGGUUGACGGUCCUAUGGAUUGUAAACCUCUUUUGUCAGGGAGCAAAGUGCGCCACGUGUGGCGCUUUGCGAGUACCUGAAGAAAAAGCAUCGGCUAACUCCGUGCCAGCGGCCGCGUUAAUACGGAGGAUGCGCGUGUUAUCCGGAUUUAUUGGGUUUAAGGGGUGCGCAGGCGGAAUGUCAAGUGAGCGGUAAAAGUUCGGGGCUCAACCGCGUCGGGCCGUUGAAACUGGCGUUCUUGAGUGAGCGAGAAGUAUGAGGAAUGUGUGGUGUAGCGGUGAAAUGCAUAGAUAUCACGCAGAACACCGAUUGCGAAGGCAGCACACGGGCGCGCAAUUGACGCUCAUGCACGAAAGCGUGGGUAUCGAACAGGAUUAGAUACCCGUGUAGUC